rnacentral:tRNA from 1 species
GGGAGUUUGGCCGAGUGGUUAAGGCGGCACGUUUAGGAUCCCCAAUAUCUCUUGGGCUUCUGACCCGUGCUGGGAAACCGCGCAGGUUCGAAUCCUGCAGCUCUCA